rnacentral:lncRNA from 1 species
GGUGCUGGAAUGCUGGAGUGGACGGCGAAAUGGGUCUCUCGGGGGUGUGAUCUGCACAAAAAUUCUGACCGAAGAUUGCUCCGACGAGGACCCUUCAGCACUCAAAUUAGAACUCUCGUUUAAUAGAUGGAGGAGCAUGAGAGACAAAAUAAUGACGUACCUUUUUUGGGGUCUUCUUUGAGCCUUCUUUAUGGAUGGAGGGUUGGAGGUUCAGUUAAUAAGUUGGUUGGCACGAUCCCACUUGAUCAGGGUA